GGGCUGGGGCUCAGUGGCAGGGGGCUUGCCUAGCAUGUAUGAGGCACUGGGUUCAAUCCUCAGCACCACA
rnacentral:tRNA from 1 species